UAAAAUAUUUACACUGGAAUGUUUAUUUUUUAUGACUUAAAUACAUCUGUCACAACGUCAUAUUCAAGAUGCAUCACAAAAAGCAAACAAGUUACAUCAGAAACUUACAUCAGACCAACCAUCAAAAAUACAAUACUGAAAUAUAUUAUUUGGAUCAAUAAAUGCAUAAUGCAAAAAUAUACAGAUAUGAUGCUUUUUCAUUGUUUUGGCUUGCAUUGUGUACAGUAUAAAGGUAUCAAGACAAAUAUACCAUAUAAUUUAACAAUAAUACCUAACUGGAAUGCCAGUUGCAAAGAGUUCAAUGAUUUAACUGGAAUAUAGGUAAAGUGGAAUAUGAUAAAUAAUGCCUCAUGUCUGUGGGCUUGUGUUGAAUGCAUACUUAACACACCGGUAUGUCAGAACAGUGUGUGCAUUAAUCCACAGGAUCUGGAGCACCAGCUGACAUCACUGUACAUUAACCGGAAGAUUAAAUCUUUUUUUUUUUUUCCCAAUCCUUCAUAAGAGAAACUUCAGUAGCGACAUAUAUUUUUUGGAAAUCAAACAUUUUGUGCAAAUACCAUUUUCUUUCUUUUUUUCAUAAAAAACACUACAAACAUUAAUAAAUUGUUGAAACAUUGCAACAGACACAUUCACAAUGUUGCUUGCGAAAGCUGCCCUUUUCAUUCGGGAAAGAAAUAUUUCACUUAAUUACAGGGCGUACAUACUGUAUGGAUUAUGUGAAUAAACAUAUACUAUAUUCACAAUAAAUCUGUUAGGUAAUAAUCAUUGCAAAAUGAAUGUGGUAUAGUUUUACAGAAUUAAUGAUGCAUUACUAAACAACUGACCUUAUAAGACCAUAACUUGCAUUUCAAAUAUCUAUGGCUUUAUUGACAAAAUGAGUGCUGUGAUAUUAGUAAUUAUGCAAGAAAAAUAAUUCACUUCCAAAUCAUUGAAAUUUAUGUUUAUAUAAGUGGCACAAAUUUGCGGUUCAAGCAAAUAAGUUUCCUUCCUCUGCAUAAGGUCAAAAGUGGUCUGAUUCAAAAGAAUCCAGCUGUCAAACUCUUAUUUUACAGUAAAAGCUGUGGGAGGCAAAUAUACUGUAUAUAUUAAAAGUGCAGUUUUUAUCAUUCCUUCAACCUGUAAAACAUAAGUGGUUUUCAUUUCCUUUCAUAACAGUGGGUUACCCAGCAUAAAUAGGAACAGAAACAAACAAAUUACAACGAAUCUUCAAAUGCGAACAAUCACACGCCACAAACCACCAUCAUGUGGUAAACAUCGCACAGCUCAAGGUAUUUUUCAAUGAAAAACAUUCUGUGGAACAAAUGUCACGCACUCUUCCCUUAGAACUACUUACCAGCUUUUUAAUUUGAAAAGAGAUCAUGUUUGGUAACAGAGUCUGUAGUGAUGGGACCAUUUUUGAUUCAUCCAGUGUUUCUGAACACUGAAAUGCAAUCUAUUAGAAACAGAUGUAGUGUUAAGUGGAUGAUGCCACUUCAUACAUCAAUUGUAAGAGCAAACAAUACUAAAUGGGCAGUGAAAUUAGCAGAUACAUCGAUCUUUCACAGCAAGUAAACACAUAAACUGAAUUUUAACCGACCCUCAAAUCACCUAAAUCCACUCUUCACCUAAAAACACCACAACAGAGCCCAACACCAUGUUUCCGGAUGGAAAAAUCCCAUUCAUUUUCUCCACAGAGAACUUCAAAACAGACUAACCAGAGGUCAGUUAAUUUAGAUAUGUUCAUAUAUUUUCUUUUAAAAAGCAAUGUUACAAGUUUAUAGAUAGAUAGAUAGAUAGAUAGAUAGAUCGAUAGAUAGAUAGAUAAUCAUUUGACAGCACUAUAUAUAUAUAUAUAUAUAUAUACAGUCAUUGCCAAAAGUUUUGGCAGUGACAUAAAUUUUUUGUUUUGCAAAGUUUGCUGCUUAAGCUGCUGUGGUUUUAAUUCACAUAGUUUCUAGAUUAUUGUGUAGAGUGAUCAGAUGCAUUUUAAAUAAUUGCUAAAAGCUUCAUUGGCCAAAAAAUGAACUUUUCACAAAAACACACAUUUCACACUGUUUUUUUAAUCCUGACACAAAAUGACCAGCUAACAUUAACUGGCUUAUCAUAUCAGUAGCACAUGUGAAAGUGUGAAUGAGUACUAGUGAGGUGAAAUCACUAUCAUACUAAAUAGAUUGUAAGAGCAGACUGAUUGGUAUAAAAGGAGGGGAGAAGCACUUCCAAUCAUUGUGUUCUGGUUAGCAAUGAAAACCUCCAAAGAAACACGUGCAGCCAUCAUCACUUUGCAUCAAAAUGGCCUCACAUGCACAGAAAUUGCUACAAAGAAUAUUGCACCUUUUAGAACCAUUAAGAACCUUUUAGAACCUUAAGAACCAUUUACCGGAUCAUCAAGAACUUCAAGGAGAGAGGUUCGACUGCAGUGAAGAAGUCUUCAGGACAUCCCAGAGUUUCCAGCAAGCGCCAGGACUGUCUCCUCCUGAGGAGUCAGCUACAGAAUCGUGUCACCAGCAGUGCAGAGCUCGCUCAGGAAUGGCAGCAGGUUGAUGUGAGAGCAUCUGCACGCACAGUGAGGCCAAGACUUUUGGACAACGGGAUGGUGUCAAGAAGGGCAGCAAAUAAGCCACUUCUCUCCAAGAAAAACUUCAAGGACAGACUGAAAUUCUGCAGGAAGUACAAGGAUUGGACAGUAGAAGACUGAUGCAAAGUUAUUUUCUCUGAUGAAGCUCCCUUCUGACUAUUUGGGAGAUCUGGAAAAUAUAUUGUUCGGAGAAGAAAAGGUGAACGCUACCAUGAGUCCUGUGUUGUGCCAACAGUGAAGAAUCCUGAGACCAUCCAUGUGUGGGGUUGCUUUUCAACCAAGUGAGUUGGCUCUCUCAUAAUUCUGCCCAAAAACACUGCCAUGAAUAAAGAACGGUAUCAAAACGUCCUGCAAGAGUGACUUCUUCCAACAAUCCGUGAGCAAUUUGACGAAGAUCCAUGCAUUUUCCAGCAUGAUGGAGCACCAUGUCACAAAGUAAGAGUGAUAAAGAAGUGGCUCAAAGAUCAUUACAUUGAAAUUUUGGAUCCGUGGCCAGGCAACUGCCCGGAUCUCAAUCUCGGAUCUCUGUGGUCAGUCCUCAAUAGGCAAGUGGACAAGCUGAAGCCCACAAAUUAUGAUCAACUCCAAGAACUAAUAAGGCAAGAAUGGAUCGCCAUCAGUCAGGAUUUUUGGCCCAGAAGCUAAUAUCCAGCAUGCCAGAGACAACUGCAGAGGUUAUAAAGAACAAGGGUCAACACUGUAAAUAUUGACUCAUUAUAUUUUUUUGCCAAUAAAAGCCUUUAAAACUUAUGAUAUUCUUAUCAUUGUUUUUCAGUAUACCAUAGAAACGUGGAAAAAUUAUUUACAAAUACGGAAGCAGCAAACUUUGCAUAACACUAAGUUUAUGUCACUGCCAAAACUUUUGGCCAUGACUGUAUAUAUAUAUGUGCUGUCAAACGAUUAAUCAUGAUUAAUCACAUCCAAAAUAAUUUUAUUUGUUUACAUAACAUAUGUGAGUGUACCGUUUAUAUUUAUUAUGUAUAUAUAAAUACAUAUAUAUAUGCAUGUAUAUAUUUAAGAAAAACAUGUUUACAUAUUAAAUAUAUUUAUAUAUAAUAUAAAUUAUAUGAAUAUAA
ensembl:lncRNA